GGGGAUUUAGCUCAGUGGUAGAGCGCUUGCCUAGCAAGCACCAGGCCCUGGGUUCGGUCCCCAGCUCCG
rfam:Rattus norvegicus chromosome 1, whole genome shotgun sequence.